CGGCCACGCAGCGGCCCAGCCCGCCGGGAGCGGCCAUGGCGAGGGGACGAGGAACAGCCCGGACAGGCGGGCGGGUGCGGCCAGGCACACCGCUGAGUGAGGACACGCCCCCUACACCUGAGGACAAAAAUCCCCAGGUGCACACGGGAAUACAAUGGUCUGACGGUUACUAUGGAAGAAUAUGGUUCUGUACACUUCAUUGACAGAUGGGUUUUCUGUUCUAAACAAUCCUGAGUUACAAGACUAAUUAAAGGAGCUCCCAGACCUACAGUAACAAUGCAAAAUUCAAAUCAGCAUGGUUUGAGUAAUAGCCAGGACCUCAUGUGCUUUGCAGCAUAAAGAGACCAAAUUCUGCUGCAGCAGUCCCUAAAUUCCAGGGCAGCAUUGGCUUAUUCUUUCACCAUGAAAUGUUCUUUGUUCCUAUCUCCCCUCCCCCACCGAUAGUCAAGAGUCAAUACAUAUUCAUCCAGAACUGUGGGUUC